ensembl:misc_RNA Metazoa_SRP Metazoan signal recognition particle RNA
GCUGGGUGUGGUGGCGCACACCUGUAAUCCCAGCUACUUGGGAGGCUGAGGCAUGAGAAUUGCAUGAGCCCAGGAGGUGGGGGUUGCAGUGAGCCAAGAUCACAUCACUGCAUUCCACAUUCUAGCCUGGGCAACAGAGCAAGACUCUGUCUCAA